rnacentral:rRNA from 1 species
CGCCCGGGCGGGGGGCCCUAAUACAUGCAAGUCGAGCGGACAGAAGGGAGCUUGCUCCCGGAUGUUAGCGGCGGACGGGUGAGUAACACGUGGGUAACCUGCCUGUAAGACUGGGAUAACUCCGGGAAACCGGAGCUAAUACCGGAUAGUUCCUUGAACCGCAUGGUUCAAGGAUGAAAGACGGUUUCGGCUGUCACUUACAGAUGGACCCGCGGCGCAUUAGCUAGUUGGUGAGGUAACGGCUCACCAAGGCGACGAUGCGUAGCCGACCUGAGAGGGUGAUCGGCCACACUGGGACUGAGACACGGCCCAGACUCCUACGGGAGGCAGCAGUAGGGAAUCUUCCGCAAUGGACGAAAGUCUGACGGAGCAACGCCGCGUGAGUGAUGAAGGUUUUCGGAUCGUAAAGCUCUGUUGUUAGGGAAGAACAAGUGCAAGAGUAACUGCUUGCACCUUGACGGUACCUAACCAGAAAGCCACGGCUAACUACGUGCCAGCAGCCGCGGUAAUACGUAGGUGGCAAGCGUUGUCCGGAAUUAUUGGGCGUAAAGGGCUCGCAGGCGGUUUCUUAAGUCUGAUGUGAAAGCCCCCGGCUCAACCGGGGAGGGUCAUUGGAAACUGGGAAACUUGAGUGCAGAAGAGGAGAGUGGAAUUCCACGUGUAGCGGUGAAAUGCGUAGAGAUGUGGAGGAACACCAGUGGCGAAGGCGACUCUCUGGUCUGUAACUGACUCUGAUGAGCGAAAGCGUGGGGGGCGAACACGAUUAUAUACCCUGGUAGUCCACGCCGUACACCAUCAGUGCUGGAGUGUUAUGCGGGUUUCCGCCCCUUAUUGCUGCAGCUAGAGCAUUAUCCACUCCUUCUGCCGGAGUACUAGUCGUAACACUUAACAGAUCGACCCACUGAGAGAGGGCCGCGUGAUCUGCUCGUAUCAAGUAAGUUAACUCGAGCGACGUCUAUGCAGCAUACUAGUGCUGGGCAUCGUCUGACACCCAU